rnacentral:rRNA from 1 species
UACGUAGGGUGCGAGCGUUAAUCGGAAUUACUGGGCGUAAAGCGUGCGCAGGCGGUUUUGUAAGCCAGAUGUGAAAUCCCCCGGGCUUAACCUGGGAAUGGCAUUUGGGACUGCAAAGCUUGAGUGCGGCAGAGGGGACUGGAAUUCCUGGUGUAGCAGUGAAAUGCGUAGAGAUUAGGAGGAAUACCGAUGGCGAAGGCAGGUCCCUGGGGCUGACACUGACGCUCAUGCACGAAAGCGUGGGGAGCGAACAGG